ACGAACGCUGGCGGCGUGCCUAAUACAUGCAAGUUGAGCGAUGAAGAUUGGUGCUUGCACCAAUUUGAAGAGCAGCGAACGGGUGAGUAACGCGUGGGGAAUCUGCCUUUGAGCGGGGGACAACAUUUGGAAACGAAUGCUAAUACCGCAUAACAACUUUAAACAUAAGUUUUAAGUUUGAAAGAUGCAAUUGCAUCACUCAAAGAUGAUCCCGCGUUGUAUUAGCUAGUUGGUGAGGUAAAGGCUCACCAAGGCGAUGAUACAUAGCCGACCUGAGAGGGUGAUCGGCCACAUUGGGAGUGAGACACGGCCCAAACGCCUACGGGAGGCAGCCGUAGGGAAUCGUCGGCAAGGGACGAAAGUCUGACCGAGCAACGCCGCGGGAGUGAAGAAGGUUGUCGGAUCGUAAAACUCUGUUGGUAGGGAAGAACGUUGGUGAGAGUGGAAAGCUCAUCAAGUGACGGUAACUACUCAGAAAGGGACGGCUAACUACGUG
rnacentral:rRNA from 1 species